UCUUUUAAUUUUUAACUCUAUUUGUUGUUUUGUCUUUUUUUAUUUUUAUAUUUUUAUGUUAUUUUUGUAAAAUGUUUUAGUUUUUUUUAUUAUUUGAAGAGACAAUUAAAAUUUGGUUUUUGAACUGGAUUAGUACCCAGGUAAUCAAAAUUAAUUAAUUCGGGAGUAAAGUUUUAUUUAAACCGAAAAAAUAUUGACUGACUUUGGAUUUUUCUUUGGAAUAUGCGUAUGGAGAGCCCUCCUUUUUAGUUAACUCUAUUGGCACAUGUAUGAUUGUUUAGUUUUUAUUUUAUUUGUAAUGCUUUUAUGUUUUGUCAUUUAAAACAGAUAUAUAUUUGGCUUAUGGGUUUGUGAUCGUGUAUUACUAUUAUUAAUUUUUUUUGGAUUAUUUUUUUAUUUUUUUUUGAAAUUGGAAAAGAAAGUAAUUUUUUUUUUAUAUAUUA
rnacentral:rRNA from 1 species